UACGAAGGGGGCUAGCGUUGUUCGGAAUUACUGGGCGUAAAGCGUUUGUAGGCGGUUAUAUAAGCCAGUGGUGAAAGCCCAGGGCUCAACCCCUGGAAUUGCCAUUGGAACUGUAUAGCUAGAGAAUGUUAGAGGAAAGUGGAAUUCCUAGUGUAGGAGUGAAAUCCGUAGAGAUUAGGAGGAAUAUCGAUGGCGAAGGCAGCUUUCUGGGACAUUUCUGACGCUGAGAAACGAAAGCGUGGGUAGCAAACAGG
rnacentral:rRNA from 1 species